ensembl:lncRNA
UGGAUAUGUACAUCCACGUGUCAGUACAGUAUAUGUGUGUGCACGUGCAUGUAUGUGUGUGUGUGUGUGUGUGUGUGUGUGUGUGUGUGUGUGUCCGUGUGUGUGUGUGUGUUUGUGUUUAUGAGUCUGGGGCGUGUGCUCAUGCACGCCUGUCUGUUGACCAUGGAUUUUGGAUUUAUGCUGCAGGAGUUGAGCGGGCCGCGGGCCAAAGCUCUCGCAGAGCUCAACACCGAGGAAGUCUGCCAGUGGUUCAGCAGCAUCGGCCUGCACAAGUGCCUGCCCCUCAUUAGAGGAGCCCAUCUCUGUGGGUCCCAUUUGGCCUCCAUAGACUUGAGCACUCUGGAGCUCCUGCAGGUGUCCGACCUGGAAGACAGGGAGAGGCUUCUGUCUGCCAUCUACGAGGCACUCCACCCACCCAACACCACCUCUCAGAGGGUGGACUCGCUUCUAGCAACCUUUGGUACACAAAGUGUUGAGAGGUUUACGGCUGCACUUGUGUCCAUGACCAAGUCACACUCUUCUCCCCAUGUCAGUAAUCUAAACCAGUGCUCGUUCAGGUUCAGACAAAGAAGUGCUGUUGCCCAGAGAAACUCACAGCUAAUUGAAAUUACCAUUAAAGUGUGUGCAUCGGAGCAGAUCGUGCACCUUCGCACGCCUAAGGACACAGGCGUGGGUAAAGUGUUAGAGUCCUGCCUGAAAAUGCUGGGUAGUGAGGAUGAGAAGGACACCUUCAUCUUAAAGAUCACAGAAGAUGAGCUGCCCAUGGAUCAGCAGAUUGGGGACCUGUUAGGCUCAGAUAGCCGACUCAUAGAGCUUCUUCUGUGCAAAAAGGAGAAACCAACACAACCAGAGGGGCCCCCAGCCUCUCCAGCCACUGGCAACUGUGAUCUAGAAAAUCAAAUCCAAUGUUGCAACGACGAGAAACUACGAGAGUUGAACCAACAAGUGGAAUCCCUUCAGAAUGUAAUUUUGCAGGUUCAAGAGCUCCAUCACGGCCUGGUGGCCUUCUGCGGUGAGCUUCGGAAUAUGGACACCGAGCAGGAUGCGGAGGGCCUGAGCAGCGUGGAGCUGGAGGGGCGGCUGGCUCAGACUCAGAGCUCCCUAAAGGAGAAGAGGCAGAGCCUCCAGGUCCUGAAGGACAGUAGCAGCACUGUAGCCACGCACAGGACCGGGAGGGUGGAGGUGCGCUUGCUGGAGAAGAUGAGACUGAACUGCCAUGUCUUUCAGGAGGAGAUCGCCCUUGUCCACCUCAAUCGCCAGGUGGUCAAUCUUCAGGUAGCCCUUGAGGAGACCCAGGACAAGGAGAAGGCUGAAGGGAAAUGCUCCACUCUGGGACAGCUGGUGUCUCUGCAGUCCCCUGCCAUGCUCCUGGCCACCCAGGAGACGCGGGGCCCAGAUGACUUUGGCUUCAGCACACGGCUCAUUAGAGGACAGGGUCUGGUGGUGGUGCACGUGGAGGACUCCAACCUCUGUGUCAACGACAGGCUGGUGGAGGUGAACGGGGUGAGCGUGGUAGGGAGCAGUGAGGAAGAGCUCCAGGCCCUGCUCCACCAGCAGCCCACUGCCCACAUCAUCGUCCUGCGCAGACCCCCUCCCCUGCCGGCUGAAAGCCCCGAGCAGCUCCACCACAACAGCACCUCCUGGAGCCCGGGAGUCUGCUCUGCAGCCUCCAGAUGACAAUAGCUGAGCAAGACAAUGGAUAACUUUCUUCUGCUUCUUCCUCUUCCUCUUCUUUCUUCAUCUACUCUCUUCUUCUUCUUCUCCUUCUAUUUCUUCUUCUUCUUCCUUCUGUCUUGUUUGUCUUUGUCCGUGUUUUAUGUUGUGUCUUGUUUUUUGUGUGCCCCUUUCUGUGCCUGUUGCCCUAGCAACCAGUGUUGUGUAGAUUUGUUUCCUCUGCUCUACUGAAUGUAAACAUGUGCAUGAUUUUUAAUUGACAGUUUUGUAUCAUAUUUUACUUUUUUGGUGUUUUUAAAGCAAUGACUUUGGCAUCCCGGUGCUAGCUACCAUAUCUGUGCUCAAUGUUUGUAGUUGUUUUGUUCAGAGUAAUGACUGUAUUGCAGAAUAUCAUUUGAUAUAUUUUACAAUGUCAUUGAACGUUAUGACUUCAUGCUUUAGUAGAUACUAAUGUACUAUCCAUAUUUUCUGUGAGUGGGUGGAUCACACAAAAUUGUCCCAUAAAAAAAUCAUUUUUCAUGGGAAAGGCAGAAAGUUGAGACUUGAGUCUCACUCACCCUUGACGGUCAGUUAGCUCAGUAAAUCAAUGUCAACGUUUUUUCUUCACUUUGUGAAAAUGUAGCAACCGGAUCAGGCCAGCAUCAUCCUGAAACUGAUAAUGGCUAAACUAUCUAUACUGUGUAAUGCCGAUUCCAGGGAUUGACCUACCUCUUUACAGUUAAUUUGAUGUAUGCAUAAUGUGAUGUCUGCGUCACCUUGACUAAGUUUACCAGGAGUUUCAAACACAUGUAUCACACACACACUUCAGUAAUUGCUGUGUAUUGUCAGUGCUGCAGAGUAGUAAAUGCUUCUCUGACUGUUACCACUCAUUUCACAACUUUUGCUUAAUGUCAUGGAUGGCAGAACUGGCAUAGGCAGGCAAUUACUUGGACGAAAACAGUGAAUAAAUAUCCUAAGAUUUUGGGCUGAUUACUCUCU